GUACGUACAAGCAGUGGGAGCACAGGUUUACCUGUGUGACUGCGUACCUUUUGUAUAAUGGGUCAGCGACUUAUAUUCUGUAGCAAGGUUAACCGAAUAGGGGAGCCGGAGGGAAACCGAGUCUUAAUUGGGCGUUAAGUUGCAGGGUAUAGACCCGAAACCCGGUGAUCUAGCCAUGGGCAGGUUGAAGGUUGGGUAACACUAACUGGAGGACCGAACCGACUAAUGUUGAAAAAUUAGCGGAUGACCUGUGGCUGGGGGUGAAAGGCCAAUCAAACCGGGAGAUAGCUGGUUCUCCCCGAAAGCUAUUUAGGUAGCGCCUCGUGAAUUCAUCUCCGGGGGUAGAGCACUGUUUCGGCUAGGGGGCCAUCCCGGCUUACCAACCCGAUGCAAACUGCGAAUACCGGAGAAUGUUAUCACGGGAGACACACGGCGGGUGCUAACGUCCGUCGUGAAGAGGGAAACAACCCAGACCGCCAGCUAAGGUCCCAAAGUCAUGGUUAAGUGGGAAACGAUGUGGGAAGGCCCAGACAGCCAGGAUGUUGGCUUAGAAGCAGCCAUCAUUUAAAGAAAGCGUAAUAGCUCACUGGUCGAGUCGGCCUGCGCGGAAGAUGUAACGGGGCUAAACCAUGCACCGAAGCUGCGGCAGCGACGCUGAUGCGUUGUUGGGUAGGGGAGCGUUCUGUAAGCCUGUGAAGGUGGCCUGUGAGGGUUGCUGGAGGUAUCAGAAGUGCGAAUGCUGACAUAAGUAACGAUAAAGCGGGUGAAAAGCCCGCUCGCCGGAAGACCAAGGGUUCCUGUCCAACGUUAAUCGGGGCAGGGUGAGUCGACCCCUAAGGCGAGGCCGAAAGGCGUAGUCGAUGGGAAACGGGUUAAUAUUCCCGUACUUGGUGUUACUGCGAAGGGGGGACGGAGAAGGCUAUGUUGGCCGGGCGACGGUUGUCCCGGUUUAAGCGUGUAGGUGUGUGUUCCAGGUAAAUCCGGUUCACUUUAACACUGAGGCGUGAUGACGAGGCACUACGGUGCUGAAGCAACAAAUGCCCUGCUUCCAGGAAAAGCCUCUAAGCAUCAGGUAACAUCAAAUCGUACCCCAAACCGACACAGGUGGUCAGGUAGAGAAUACCAAGGCGCUUGAGAGAACUCGGGUGAAGGAACUAGGCAAAAUGGUGCCGUAACUUCGGGAGAAGGCACGCUGACACGUAGGUGAAGUGAUUUACUCACGGAGCUGAAGUCAGUCGAAGAUACCAGCUGGCUGCAACUGUUUAUUAAAAACACAGCACUGUGCAAACACGAAAGUGGACGUAUACGGUGUGACGCCUGCCCGGUGCCGGAAGGUUAAUUGAUGGGGUCAGCGCAAGCGAAGCUCCUGAUCGAAGCCCCGGUAAACGGCGGCCGUAACUAUAACGGUCCUAAGGUAGCGAAAUUCCUUGUCGGGUAAGUUCCGACCUGCACGAAUGGCGUAAUGAUGGCCAGGCUGUCUCCACCCGAGACUCAGUGAAAUUGAACUCGCUGUGAAGAUGCAGUGUACCCGCGGCAAGACGGAAAGACCCCGUGAACCUUUACUAUAGCUUGACACUGAACAUUGAGCCUUGAUGUGUAGGAUAGGUGGGAGGCUUUGAAGUGUGGACGCCAGUCUGCAUGGAGCCGACCUUGAAAUACCACCCUUUAAUGUUUGAUGUUCUAACGUGGACCCGU
rnacentral:rRNA from 1 species